UCUCCCCUUCUUCCCCAUCCUCAUCCAUUCACUCUCUCUCUCUCAUUCACUUCUCUUCUUCCUCAAGACCCCCGACUACUCCCUCUUUCUCUCUCACUUUAUUUCUCCUUUCUUCUCUCUACUUCUACACCUUCGGCAUAGACCCAGUCUCGAGACCCCCGACUGCAUCUCUGCCCCUCCCUUACUCUCACUUUCUUUCUCCAUUCUCUCAGCCCCGCUAUCUCUCUUCUCUCUCAGCCUCAACCUAACACUGUCUCUCCCUCCUGCAGGUUGACGACUAAGGAUGGCGCGCGAAUAAUGGUGAGUUUCGACGACAAAAGAUUUGAAUGUGACUCGACCAUCGUCGACGGGGGCUCUAACUUUCAAUGGGGUCGGCGAAGUUGGGUUCGUGCAACGAAAUGAUGGGUGUCCUGCUUGCAAAAAUUAUAAGCCCCAUUAUGAAAAAGUAGCAAAGCUUUUUAAUGGGCCAGAUGCGGUUCAUCCAGGGAUGGUAUUGAUGACUAGGGUAGACUGUGCAUCUAAGCACAGAUAAAUACUAAACUCUGUGAUAGAAUCUCUGUGAGUCAUUUUCCUAUGCUCUUCUGGGGACCUCCUUCUAAAUUUGUUGGUGGUAGUUGGGAACCUAAGAAGGAGAAAAGUGAAAUACUUGUAAUUGAUGAUGGGUGUGCAGCUGAUUGGUUACUUAAUUGGAUCAAUAAGCAAUUGGGCAGGUAUGAGGUAUCUAUGUU